rnacentral:rRNA from 1 species
AACGAACGCUGGCGGCAGGCCUAAUACAUGCAAGUCGAGCGGAAAGGCUCCUUCGGGAGUACUCGAGCGGCGAACGGGUGAGUAACAGGUGGAUAAUCUGCCUCUUGGUAGGGGAUAGCUGCUGGAAACGGCAGGUAAUACCGUAUGUGAUUCUCGAGACAUAAGCCUUGAGAAGGAAAGGCGCGUUUGCGCCGCCAAGAGAUGGGUCCGCCCCCCAUUAGCUAGUUGGUGUGAUAACAGCGCACCAAGGCUUCGAUGGGUAGCCGGGCUGAGAGGUUGGCCGGCCACACUGGAACUGAGACACGGUCCAGACACCUACGGGUGGCAGCAGUAGGGAAUAUUGCGCAAUGGGCGAAAGCCUGACGCAGCCAUGCCGCGUGGAUGAUGAAGGCCUUCGGGUCGUAAAAUCCUUUUCUAAGAGAAGAACAUCCCGGGGAGGAAAUGCCUCGGGCCUGACGGUACCUUAGGAAUAAGCAACGGCUAACUCCGUGCCAGCCGCCGCCGUAAUAC